rnacentral:rRNA from 1 species
UACGUAGGGUCGCGAGCGUUGUUCGGAGUUACUGGGCGUAAAGGGUGCGUAGGCGGUUGUUUAAGUUUGGUGUGAAAUCUCCCGGCUCAACUGGGAGGGUGCGCCGAAUACUGAAUGACUAGAGUGCGGGAGAGGAGAGUGGAAUUCCUGGUGUAGCGGUGAAAUGCGUAGAUAUCAGGAGGAACACCGGUGGUGUAGACGGCUCUCUGGACCGUAACUGACGCUGAGGCACGAAAGCGUGGGUAGCAAACAGG